CGGAGGAUACGAGCGUUAUCCGGAUUUAUUGGGUUUAAAGGGUGCGUAGGUGGCUGAUUAAGUCAGUGGUGAAAAGCUAUGGCUCAACCAUAGUCUUGCCGUUGAUACUGGUUAGCUUGAGUGUAGAUGAUGUAGGCGGAACGCGUAGUGUAGCGGUGAAAUGCAUAGAUAUUACGCAGAACUCCGAUUGCGAAGGCAGCUUACAAAACUACUACUGACACUGAUGCACGAAAGCGUGGGUAUCAAACAGGAUU
rnacentral:rRNA from 1 species